UACGUAGGGGGCGAGCGUUGUCCGGAAUCACUGGGCGUAAAGCGCGUGUAGGCGGCCCGGUAAGUCCGCUGUGAAAGUCCAGGGCUCAACCCUGGGAUGCCGGUGGAUACUGUCGGGCUCGAGUCCGGAAGAGGCGAGUGGAAUUCCUGGUGUAGCGGUGAAAUGCGCAGAUAUCAGGAGGAACACCAAUGGCGAAGGCAGCUCGCUGGGACGUGACUGACGCUGAGACGCGAAAGCGUGGGGAGCAAACAGG
rnacentral:rRNA from 1 species